rnacentral:rRNA from 1 species
UACGUAGGGGGCAAGCGUUGUCCGGAAUUAUUGGGCGUAAAGAGCGUGUAGGCGGCCAGAUAAGUCCGCUGUGAAAUCUCGAGGCUCAACUUCGAGCUGUCGGUGGAAACUAUCUGGCUAGAGUCCGGAAGAGGAGAGUGGAAUUCCUGGUGUAGCGGUGAAAUGCGCAGAUAUCAGGAAGAACACCCGUGGCUAAGGCGGCUCUCUAGUACGGUACUGACGCUGAGACGCGAAAGCGUGGGGAGCGAACAGG